rnacentral:lncRNA from 1 species
ACAUGGUAUUACGCGGAUUGACGUCUUUUUUCAAAAUUAAAUUAUAGUUAGGACUUAGGAUAUUAAAUAGGUACUUUUUAUGAUUUUGACAUAUCAUUUAAUUCCCCUAAUAUUGAUGAGUGUACAAUAAAAUGUCUCUGUCAUUGGUACCUAUUAGGCAUUUAUUGGUAUUAUGAUUGUACUCAAUUUUAAGGAGAAUACUAUACAGAUUAAAGCGCUAGUAUUACAAACAUCACACAGACAUGAAUUGCCACAUGAAGUGAAUGAGGAAUUGGUAAGUCAUUCUUUGAGUAUUAUGCCUUUUACCUGAAGUUGCAAGGCUGGCGCUUCAGAGUGCUGCAAGCAUGUGGUGUCUGUUCUUCUGUUAUUGAACAGAACUCCAAUUGCUGAUUUGGAAUCAUUGUCAUCAACCGAUAUAAAAUAUCAAUGGAUAAAAUUUAGGCAGCCGACAUUAACGCAGUACAAACCAUUACCUGUGGAUACGUAUUGUUGCUAUAAAAAGACUAGUGAAAUGAAUGUUGAUAUUGAUGGAGAGACAGUUAGAUAAAUUCAGACGUACACAAAUAAAUGAAUAAUUAAUGUUGUAAACACUUGUAUUAACAACAUUGUUCAAUGGUUAUUGUGUCAGGCAAUCAUCACAUCUGAACCAAUUUUCUGUUUUAACCAUUUUGUGUUUAUAAUAACAUUCCUUAUUGCUUCCGCCACAAGCCAAGAUUAAAGGAAGUAUUCAUUAGUUCACUCUUAUUUAUAAUACUUGAUAAAUAACCAU